GAGAGAAUAGGAGGGAAAGAUGUUUAUACGAGGUUCUACUAACUGGUUCUGAGGGUCUACCCCUUCAGAAUUACUGCAUUUUUGAAGUGAUAACAUGAAAAUGAAACCCUUUAAAAGGGAGGUUUUAAAAAAAGACACUUCGGAGCCCACAAAAAAAGAACUUUUUUAAUUAUUAUUAUUAUUAUUUUGAGGGGAAAGGGCAGGUUUUAAGAGGAAUUAAAUUUCUGGGGCAAGGUGUGAGGUGGAAUAGGGCACCGAGCCUGUCUCCCUGAGCCCUUGGCAGUGCUGAGUCAGCUCCCCUCACCCAUUCCAGUUUAUUCAUACAAAUCCCUCCUGCUGCUCGUCAUGGUUGCUGUUUUAGGCCCAGUUCAGCCAAUGACCUUUUCCUCCAGUCAGCUUUGUGUUUGUGUUUAAGUCACCUGCUUACUCGUCAGCGUCUGUGUACUUGUGGGAAAUGUAGUUUUCGGGGAUUCUGUGGUAGGAAAUAGAGGAAGAAGGGGCCUCAGUUGGGCUCUUCUUCCUGCUUUCCUAGUUGUAUCUGUGAGUGCCCAACAGGCAUCAGAGGGGGAGCUCUAAGAGGAUGGGGGGCCUGCAGACCCUCAAGUUUGAAAAGCACUUAAGCACCUACUUUUGACAGUGGGACAGUCUGCUAACUUCUGCCCCCACCAACCAAGCCUGACAGAACCCAGUGAUAGCUAGGAGUUCCCCAAAUGAGGACAAAGAUUUGGGAGCAGUGCAGCGUGCCUCUGCACUCCAGGUCUUCCUCUUCACCCCCUACUUGGAGGCAGACACAAUUCCAGGCCGCACCAGAGCCUGGCCCCUCCCACCAGGCGCUUUGCUCCUUCUGUCCCAGCGUCUCCUUCCUCUGCAUCUCCACACCUUUCUUCUGUUCAAAGUCUUCUGUAAAAUUUUCUUUCCUUCUUUGUUCUUUUCUUUUUCCUUUUUUUUUUAUAAAUUAAUUUGCUUUCAGUUCCAUCUUGUGGGUGCCUCUGUGUUCUCUUAGCUGUGGCUGCUAGGCAGGGAGCAGAUUGGGCUGGGGCAGCCUUCCUGGAGUCCCUCACUGGACAUUCACCAGGGUUGCAGAGGCCCACAGCCAUCAGCCUCUUGCCACAAGAGGCCACACAGCAGUCAGGAAGGCAGCAGCGGCAGCAGCAGCAGGAGCAGCAGCUGUCACCUACUCAAGAUUGAGCUCCGGGAAGCACAUCCCUACAGCGUGGACCUGAAUCCUUUUAAACAUGGCUGCAUUCCUUCCCUUAUUAGGGAGGAGGCAGGCCUACACCUACUUCUGUUGCUAUUGGCCCCUAGCCCUGCAGCAGACAAGACAGGCUCUGGCAGCACUAAUAUGUCCUGGCAUUUUAGCUUCAGUAAACAUUCACAGGCUUUCCCAC
rnacentral:lncRNA from 1 species